rnacentral:rRNA from 1 species
GUGGGGAAUAUUGGACAAUGGGCGCAAGCCUGAUCCAGCCAUGCCGCGUGAGUGAUGAAGGCCCUAGGGUUGUAAAGCUCUUUCACCGGAGAAGAUAAUGACGGUAUCCGGAGAAGAAGCCCCGGCUAACUUCGUGCCAGCAGCCGCGGUAAUACGAAGGGGGCUAGCGUUGUUCGGAAUUACUGGGCGUAAAGCGCACGUAGGCGGACAUUUAAGUCAGGGGUGAAAUCCCGGGGCUCAACCCCGGAACUGCCUUUGAUACUGGGUGUCUGGAGUAUGGAAGAGGUAAGUGGAACUCCGAGUGUAGAGGUGAAAUUCGUAGAUAUUCGGAAGAACACCAGUGGCGAAGGCGACUCACUGGCCCAAUACUGACGCUGAGGCGCGAAAGCGUGGGGAGCAAACAGGAUUAGAUACCCUUGUAGUCC